rnacentral:rRNA from 1 species
GAUCCUGGCUCAGAGCGAACGUUAGCGGCGGGCUUAACACAUGCAAGUCGAGCGAGAAAGGGGCUUCGGCCCUGAGUACAGCGGCGGACGGGUGAAUAACACGUAGGUAACCUUCCUUCAGCGGGGGACAACGGUCCGAAAGGACCGCUAAUACCGCAUACGUUCCCUGGGACCUCGGUCCUGGGGAGGAAAGGCCCGCAAGGGCCACUGGAUGAGGGGCCUGCGUAGCAUCAGCUAGUUGGUGGGGUAAUGGCCUACCAAGGCGAAGACGCUUAGCUGGUCUGAGAGGAUGAUCAGCCACACUGGGACUGAGACACGGCCCAGACUCCUACGGGAGGCAGCAGUGGGGAAUAUUGGACAAUGGGCGCAAGCCUGAUCCAGCCACGCCGCGUGAGUGAUGAAGGCCUUCGGGUCGUA